UGUGGGAGUGAGUGAGCGUGUGAGUGUGUGCCGCAGCAUGGGAAGCGAGUGAUUCGCUGAUUCGCUAAAUUCGUCGUAUUUACUUGAAAAUUUGCAAAGUAAUAGCCAAGAGUCCCCGUCAAACAAGUGCAAUCGAAUUAUUCGCGAAAAAGUGCAUUAUUUGAGUGCAUUGCGGCCGCCCAACGUCAUCGCCGCGUGUGCGACAGUGUGCGUGUCCCCAGUGCGUACGCGCGUGUGUGUGUGUUGGUGUGUGUGGCGCAGUUCACACAACUUGGCCUGGAAAAAGUGAAAGAGUAUUUUUUCGGCCAUAUUGUGUUGUCAUAGCUGGAAAAAGUGCAUUUCCCGGCCGUAUGCAUAUUCUAGGCAUCUGCGGAAGUGCAGCCGAUCAGCUAAAGUUCACUCAAAAUCCCACAAAUGUCGAGUAAAUAGCGCGACUUAUGUAAAAGCAGAGAACAAAAAAAGUAUUUACAUUUACAAAGACAUCUUAACUUGUGUGGCUUCGGAUUGUAAAUUACAGGAAGGAACAGCAGUAAUAACAAAAACAAGGUAUGUUUGUCAUCCGAUGACAUUUAUGUUGACAAUUGACUUUACUUUGGCGUCGGUGUAAGUAAAUGGGGUUAAGCAGAUGAUCUGAUCUAAGAGUGAUGGGUUAUUAUAUAAAGGCUUAAGGUUGGGUAAGCAUGGGAAAAUAAACGGCCGAGAAAAAUUAUGGGAAACCUUUUUUUCGGGGAUUUAUUUACUUGUACCCAGCUAAACUUGACAAAGAAAAUUAUAAUAAUGCAAUUUAUUAAAGUUCAACUGCCUUAAAAGCAAUCUUCUUAACUUGAAUAAAAAGGUCACCUUUAGCCUUUUUGCCUGAUUUGAAGUUAAGCCAACACUUGGGCCUACAAAUUAUGCAAAUUUCGACAACUUAAAAUCCCCCGCAAAAACACUUCUGGUCCCUUUCUUCCCGUGCGCCAAUUUCAAAGUUAUUUCAAAUUAAUGGCCAUCAGGGGCAAUCUUUUCUUCAUUGUAUUUCGGCCUGCAGCGAUAUAUAAAAGAGAGAAAAAGCAGCCUUAACUAAGCCUCGGGGCCAUUGGAAUACGAACGCCCUAAACCUUGAGAAAUUCGACUCGAUGGCACGUUUAAUGCCCCGGACAAGUCAGACGCCUCUAUAUAUACAUAUAUGUUUGUGUAUACGACUUCUAACGUCUAUAAUUACUAAGCAAAUACACGCACCGCCGACACAGAGAUAUUCAGAUACAGAUACUCGCCUACAGAUACAUUCACGAAAAGCUGGCUCGGUCAACAGCCAGAGAGCUUGUUAAUUAUGCCGUCUAACCAACGAAAUUAUGACAAAUUUAUAUGGCCAAGAAUACGUUUUGGAGUAAUAAGUGGGAGCGAACCGUUCAAAAAGAAGACGGAGUGAAAACGGAGUCAAAUAAGUUCAAAUAGUCCGCCCAUUUAAAUAAACAAGGCAAAAAGUGAGCGAACCCACUCGGUAAUACGAAGAGGAGCCCCAAACACACAUUCUAUCGCAAACAUUGCCCCAAACUCGCCGAGGAAAAAAUAAUGAAAUGAAAUGAAAUAAAAGCGUGAGCCAUUUGAAACUUAUGAUGGGUUCAUGGUCAAAACAACCUGAGUUCGUUAAAACAAUAAAAAAGAGGAAAAAACUGCGAAAAGAAGCGAAUAACUAAAGCGCCAAGUAUAUAAAGACACAGAACAAGAAAAAAGUGGAUAUUUGUGUACUCGCGAAAAUAAAAUGAAAACCGUUUGAAAGAAAAUAGAGACUAGAAACUAAAAUGCGAAUAUGCAAAUACUCUCUAAAGAAUUAGACCCUAAAAAUAUAUAAAAUGUGAUAAUUAGAUUAGCGUAAUAAAAUCCAAGUCAAAAACAAAAUAAACUUCUCAUAAGUAUCUCAUAUAAGAAAAUAAAUUGUUGGUAGGGUUAAGCAUUUUAUCCUUUUAUUUAUUUGCUUAACAUCUUUACAGAAUUUGCUUACCAGCAAAUAUGCGAAUUCAUUAUUAUAUUGCUUUAGUAAAGCAAUAAAUCUCAAAGGCUUUGGUCGAGGGUAUGAAAAACAACACAUGCGAAUCGGAAGAUUGCUGUCAAUAUUUAUGAACAACAAAUAAUAGUCGAAUGGCCCGGUGACUGACGGCUCUUUGUGAUAUUUUGUGUGGAAGUUUAUCAACUCCUGCGAAAAGUAUGAGUAUCUUGGGGGAAUUUUUGCAUGAAGGUACGGAGUAUUUCUCCCUUUUUCCCCCUUACAAAAUUCAGCUCGUGUCCGCCCAUAAAUUAUGCUCUGUAUGGGCUGAUUCUGCCUCCUCUUGUUAUUUCAUUUUAUUUAUAUUUCUUUUCAUUUGAACAACUUCUAGUUUGGUUUUGUUGUCAGCGCUGUGUGUGUUGCCUCCACCUCUUCCGUUUGAAGCGUGUGCACACCUUGAAAAUAACUUCCAAGGUUGCCAGCGACUCUGAGAAUGAUUGCCCCGGCGCGUCCCCUCUUAAAACCCCUCCAUUUCUUACUAUAUAUUUUUGCACGUUUCUGUUGGUGUUUCUGUUGUUGUGCCCCGUGCCGAGCCAUGUGACUCUUCCUCGGAUUCCUCCACCCCGGGAUACCCAUUUCGAUACGUAUUGUGUUCCCUUCGCUGAUGGGCAACUUGUAGUCAAAGUUAUAUGGUAUUCCGUACUUGUCUUCUUGCCCAACUUGUUCUACCAACCCGUUCCCUUCGGUUUUUCUGGUUAGGAGGUUCUGGUCUGAAUUUCCCCGGUUACUUUUAUUUCCCUGGUUUUGCCCUUUUGUUUUAAGCCGGUUGUUUGCCAAUGACGUCAGAGAAACGCCGGUUCCGGCUUUGUCUUGGUUUGCCAAUGUAAAUGCAAAUUGAAGGCCCUUCUGGAGAUUAGAAUAAGCGAAGAAGAUUUUUCGAGUUGCUGAAUUUUAUUUUGGGGUUGUGUCAAUAUAUUUACAAAGCCAGAUUAAGAAUGUUUGUGUUGGUUAAUAUUAAAAGAAGAUUUCUCGGAUUUCCAUUAUAAUAUUUAAAGCUUUUGUGCAGGUUAAAUAUUUGACAGAAUAUAUUUCUUGACAAAUUUUCUUAAAAUUUGUAGAAACAAAAUCAUUCAGAUGACCUUAAGAAGAGAUACAUUUAAAGUGUUUUUGUUUUUGCUAUCGUGCUACCAGAUAAUUAAAUUAUUUAUGAGUCUACCAAUGUCUUCAAACCAAUAAAAUUAUAAUAGUUUCGGAAAACACACCCAACUUGUGAAUGUCUGGCUGAGGAAUAUAAUUAAAAAAUCCCUGAAGCCUUUCGCCGAUACUCGA